rnacentral:rRNA from 1 species
GACGAACGCUGGCGGCGUGCCUAAUACAUGCAAGUCGAACGCAGUGGGGACUGGUGAGUAACACGUGGGUAACCUCCCAUCAGAGGGGAUAACACUUGGAAACAGGUGCUAAACCGAUACUGAUUGAUGGACCCGCGGUGCAUUAGCUAGUUGGUGAGGUAACGGCUCACCAAGGCCACGAUGCAUAGCGGUCCUGGGAGGGUGAACGGCUCCACUGGGACGGAGACACGGCCCAGACUCCUACGUGAGGCAGAAGUAGGGAAUCUUCGAUAAGGGACGAAAGUCUGACCGAGCAACGCCGCGUGAGUAAAGAAGGUAUUCGGAUAGUAAAGCUCUGUUGUAAGAAAAGCGGUAUCUAACCAGAAAGCCACGGCUAACUACGUGCCAGCAGCCGCGGAAAUUC